rnacentral:rRNA from 1 species
CCAGUGAAUUUUUAACGGCCGCAGUAUCCUAACCGCGCGAAGGUAGCAUAAUCACUUGUUCUUUAAAUGAGGACUUGUAUCAACGGCAUCACGAGGGUUUUACUGUCUCCUCUUUCUGAUCAGUGAAAUUGAUCUUCCCGUGAAGAAGCGGGAAUAUAUAUAUAAGACGAGAAGACCCCAUGGAGCUUCAAACCUGGCAACAACUUAACCGUAAAAUCCCUGAUAGUUAUAAAGCAAUGCUGUAAGGUUUUGGGUUGGGGUGACCACGGAGUAAAACACAACCUCCACGACGAAAAGACCGCAAUCUUUAUUUAAGAACAACAAUUCUAGAAAUUAGCACACUAACGCUUUCUGAUCCGACAAUCGAUCAACGGACCAAGUUACCCUGGGGAUAACAGCGCAAUCUACUUCAAGAGCCCAUAUCGACAAGUAGGCUUACGACCUCGAUGUUGGAUCAGGAUAUCCCAGUGGUGCAGCCGCUACUAA